GGGCGGUUAGCUCAGUUGGUUAGAAUGUCUGGUUUACACCCAGAAGGUCGGGGGUUCGAGCCCCUCACCGCCCA
rnacentral:tRNA from 1 species